rnacentral:rRNA from 1 species
UACGUAGGGGGCAGGCGUUGUCCGGAUUCAUUGGGCGUAAAGAGCUCGUAGGCGGCUUGGCAAGUCGGGUGUGAAAACUCCAGGCUCAACCUGGAGACGCCACCCGAUACUGCCAUGGCUAGAGUCCGGUAGGGGACCACGGAAUUCCUGGUGUAGCGGUGAAAUGCGCAGAUAUCAGGAGGAACACCGGUGGCGAAGGCGGUGGUCUGGGCCGGAACUGACGCUGAGGAGCGAAAGCGUGGGGAGCGAACAGG